rnacentral:rRNA from 1 species
AGUGAACGCUGGCGGUAGGCCUAACACAUGCAUGUCGAACGGCAGCACAGGAGAGCUUGCUCUCUGGGUGGCGAGUGGCGGACGGGUGAGGAAUACAUCGGAAUCUACUCUGGCGUGGGGGAUAACGUAGGGAAACUUACGCUAAUACCGCAUACGACCUACGAGUGAAAGCAGGGGACCUUCGGGCCUUGCGCGAUUGAAUGAGCCGAUGUCGGAUUAGCUAGUUGGCGGGGUAAAGGCCCACCAAGGCGACGAUCCGUAGCUGGUCUGAGAGGAUGAUCAGCCACACUGGAACUGAGACACGGUCCAGACUCCUACGGGAGGCAGCAGUGGGGAAUAUUGGACAAUGGGCGCAAGCCUGAUCCAGCCAUACCGCGUGGGUGAAGAAGGCCUUCGGGUUGUAAAGCCCUUUUGUUGGGAAAGAAAUCCAGCUGGCUAAUACCCGGUUGGGAUGACGGUACCCAAAGAAUAAGCACCGGCUAACUUUGUGCCAGCAGCCGCGGUAA